AACCUCCGCAAUGUACGAAAGUGCGACGGGGGGAUCCCAAGUGUUAUGCUUUUUUGUAUAACUUUUCAUUAGUGUAAAAAGCUUUUAGAAUAAGAGCUGGGCAAGACCGGUGCCAGCCGCCGCGGUAACACCGGCAGCUCGAGUGGUAGCUGUUUUUAUUGGGCCUAAAGCGUUCGUAGCCGGUUUGAUAAGUCUUUGGUGAAAGCUUGUAGCUUAACUAUAAGAAUUGCUGGAGAUACUAUCAGACUUGAAGUCGGGAGAGGUUAGAGGUACUACCGGGGUAGGGGUGAAAUCCUAUAAUCCUGGGAGGACCACCUGUGGCGAAGGCGUCUAACUGGAACGAUCUUGACGGUGAGUAACGAAAGCCAGGGGCGCGAACCGGAUUAGAUACCCGGGUAGUCCUGGCCGUAAACGAUGUGGACUUGGUGUUGGAAUGGCUUUGAGUUGUUCCGGUGCCGAAGGGAAGCUGUUAAGUCCACCGCCUGGGAAGUACGGUCGCAAGAUUGAAACUUAAAGGAAUU
rnacentral:rRNA from 1 species